UGGAAAAAAAUCCCAUCCCUUGGGAUCUCCCACUGCUGUUGCACCAGUGUGAAACCCACUUUAAAUCCACGCCCGUUUUGGGUGAGGAAAAGAUGAAUCCCUCCAGGAAUGGGAUGAAUGCCUUCAUGAACCCCUUCAUGAAUCCCUUUGGUGUUUCAUCGCCCCAGGACAGCUGAUUGCCUUUGCUCGUUUCAAUUCCAUUUUCCCUCGUUUCUACGAGUUGUUUAGGAAGUUCUUGGGCUCUUGCUCUCAUGAAGACCUGCCUGGAAAUCAGCAGGGUGGUACAAACCCAUCGAGGUGUUGUGUGUAUUUGUAUAAACACAGGUUGUCUCUGUCACGGGGAAAAACUUUCCAGCACAAAGCUGCCAGAAUUUCUGCUCUUCCUUCUGAAGAAGGAAGAAUUUCUUCUUUUUUCCUCUGCUUGGGCCUGGCCGUGUGGGCUUGCAGUUCUUUUCCCUGGAGAGCAGCACUCAUUUCUGUCAGUGUUAUGUAUUUCUCUUCCAAUCUGAAGUAGUAUUUAGGAAAAAAAGAAGGUGAAAUAACCCAGCCAAAGGUACCUUGGUGUUUCCUGCUGUGCCCAGAGGUUUCUGUGCAUCCCUGCAGCAUUUGAGCCCUGCCCAGAGCAGUGAAACGGGCUCAUCCCCAGGGAGCUGUGUGCAGAGAGAGCAUCACCCUCCCCAGGAUUUUAAUAAGCCAUGAAAUUGGGUGUUCGGCUGUUUUCAUUAUUCUACUACUCUGUGUGUAAAAAAAUCUCAGAUUUUUUGCCAUUCAUCCUAAAGAACCAGUGUGAUAUUCCCAUCCUUUGGUGCCCUUUGAAUGUCAGGCUGUCUCUUCAGCCAGUGGUUCCUCACCACACCUCUCCCUUCCACCUUAUUUACAGGGUGGAAAUAUAUUAUAUCUAUAAAUACAUAUAUAAUAUAUAUUUAUAUAUUUCUAUUUCUACCCAUAUCUGUAUUUGUGUAUACAUAU